GGCUGGGCAAGGUGCGGGGCUAGGGCUAACAGCAGUCUUACUGAGGGUCUCCUGGAGACCACACACAUGCUGUUACCACUAACCUCAACCUUACUCCGUC
rnacentral:pre_miRNA from 14 species